rnacentral:rRNA from 1 species
ACGUACAAGCAGUGGGAGCACCCUUUGGGUGUGACUGCGUACCUUUUGUAUAAUGGGUCAGCGACUUAUAUUCUGUAGCAAGGUUAACCGAAUAGGGGAGCCGGAGGGAAACCGAGUCUUAACCGGGCGUUAAGUUGCAGGGUAUAGACCCGAAACCCGGUGAUCUAGCCAUGGGCAGGUUGAAGGUUGGGUAACACUAACUGGAGGACCGAACCGACUAAUGUUGAAAAAUUAGCGGAUGACCUGUGGCUGGGGGUGAAAGGCCAAUCAAACCGGGAGAUAGCUGGUUCUCCCCGAAAGCUAUUUAGGUAGCGCCUCGUGAAUUCAUCUCCGGGGGUAGAGCACUGUUUCGGCUAGGGGGCCAUCCCGGCUUACCAACCCGAUGCAAACUGCGAAUACCGGAGAAUGUUAUCACGGGAGACACACGGCGGGUGCUAACGUCCGUCGUGAAGAGGGAAACAACCCAGACCGCCAGCUAAGGUCCCAAAGUCAUGGUUAAGUGGGAAACGAUGUGGGAAGGCCCAGACAGCCAGGAUGUUGGCUUAGAAGCAGCCAUCAUUUAAAGAAAGCGUAAUAGCUCACUGGUCGAGUCGGCCUGCGCGGAAGAUGUAACGGGGCUAAACCAUGCACCGAAGCUGCGGCAGCGACACUGUGUGUUGUUGGGUAGGGGAGCGUUCUGUAAGCCUGUGAAGGUGUGUCGUGAGGCAUGCUGGAGGUAUCAGAAGUGCGAAUGCUGACAUAAGUAACGAUAAAGCGGGUGAAAAGCCCGCUCGCCGGAAGACCAAGGGUUCCUGUCCAACGUUAAUCGGGGCAGGGUGAGUCGACCCCUAAGGCGAGGCCGAAAGGCGUAGUCGAUGGGAAACGGGUUAAUAUUCCCGUACUUGGUGUUACUGCGAAGGGGGGACGGAGAAGGCUAUGUUGGCCGGGCGACGGUUGUCCCGGUUUAAGCGUGUAGGUGUGUGUUCCAGGUAAAUCCGGUUCACUUUAACACUGAGGCGUGACGACGAGGCACUACGGUGCUGAAGCAACAAAUGCCCUGCUUCCAGGAAAAGCCUCUAAGCAUCAGGUAACAUCAAAUCGUACCCCAAACCGACACAGGUGGUCAGGUAGAGAAUACCAAGGCGCUUGAGAGAACUCGGGUGAAGGAACUAGGCAAAAUGGUGCCGUAACUUCGGGAGAAGGCACGCUGACACGUAGGUGAAGUGAUUUACUCAUGGAGCUGAAGUCAGUCGAAGAUACCAGCUGGCUGCAACUGUUUAUUAAAAACACAGCACUGUGCAAACACGAAAGUGGACGUAUACGGUGUGACGCCUGCCCGGUGCCGGAAGGUUAAUUGAUGGGGUCAGCGCAAGCGAAGCUCCUGAUCGAAGCCCCGGUAAACGGCGGCCGUAACUAUAACGGUCCUAAGGUAGCGAAAUUCCUUGUCGGGUAAGUUCCGACCUGCACGAAUGGCGUAAUGAUGGCCAGGCUGUCUCCACCCGAGACUCAGUGAAAUUGAACUCGCUGUGAAGAUGCAGUGUACCCGCGGCAAGACGGAAAGACCCCGUGAACCUUUACUAUAGCUUGACACUGAACAUUGAGCCUUGAUGUGUAGGAUAGGUGGGAGGCUUUGAAGUGUGGACGCCAGUCUGCAUGGAGCCGACCUUGAAAUACCACCCUUUAAUGUUUGAUGUUCUAACGUGGACCCGUUACCCGGGUUGCGGACAGUGUCUGGUGGGUAGUUUGACUGGGGCGGUCUCCUCCUAAAGAGUAACGGAGGAGCACGAAGGUUGGCUAAUCCUGGUCGGACAUCAGGAGGUUAGUGCAAUGGCAUAAGCCAGCUUGACUGCGAGCGUGACGGCGCGAGCAGGUGCGAAAGCAGGUCAUAGUGAUCCGGUGGUUCUGAAUGGAAGGGCCAUCGCUCAACGGAUAAAAGGUACUCCGGGGAUAACAGGCUGAUACCGCCCAAGAGUUCAUAUCGACGGCGGUGUUUGGCACCUCGAUGUCGGCUCAUCACAUCCUGGGGCUGAAGUAGGUCCCAAGGGUAUGGCUGUUCGCCAUUUAAAGUGGUACGCGAGCUGGGUUUAGAACGUCGUGAGACAGUUCGGUCCCUAUCUGCCGUGGGCGCUGGAGAACUGAGGGGGGCUGCUCCUAGUACGAGAGGACCGGAGUGGACGCAUCACUGGUGUUCGGGUUGUCAUGCCAAUGGCACUGCCCGGUAGCUAAAUGCGGAAGAGAUAAGUGCUGAAAGCAUCUAAGCACGAAACUUGCCCCGA